AGAGUUUGAUCAUGGCUCAGAACGUACGCUGGCGUCACGCCUAACACAUGCAAGUCGAACGAAGUAGCAAUACUUAGUGGCAGACGGGUGAGUAACAUGUAGGUAUCUACCCUUUGGCCUGGAAUAACACGAGGAAACUUGUGCUAAUACCGGAUAAGUCUUUACGGAGAAAGCUUUAUGCACCAUUGGAUGAGCCUGCACUUGAUUAGUUUGUUGGUAGGGUAAUGGCCUACCAAGACUGUGAUCAAUAGCUGAUUUGAGAGGAUGAUCAGCCACAUUGGGACUGAGACACGGCCCAAACUCCUACGGGAGGCAGCAGUGGGGAAUCUUGCACAAUGGAGGAAACUCUGAUGCAGCGAUGCCGCGUGAGUGAAGAAGGCCUUUGGGUUGUAAAGCUCUUUCGUCGGGGAAGAAAAUGACUGUACCCGAAUAAGAAGGUCCGGCUAACUUCGUGCCAGCAGCCGCGGUAAUACGAAGGGACCUAGCGUAGUUCGGAAUUACUGGGCUUAAAGAGUUCGUAGGUGGUUGAAAAAGUUGGUGGUGAAAUCCCAGAGCUUAACUCUGGAACUGCCAUCAAAACUUUUCAGCUAGAGUAUGAUAGAGGAAAGCAGAAUUUCUAGUGUAGAGGUGAAAUUCGUAGAUAUUAGAAAGAAUACCAAUUGCGAAGGCAGCUUUCUGGAUCAUUACUGACGCUGAGGAACGAAAGCAUGGGUAGCGAAGAGGAUUAGAUACCCUCGUAGUCCAUGCCGUAAACGAUGUGUGUUAGACGUUGGAAAUUUAUUUUCAGUGUCGCAGCGAAAGCGAUAAACACACCGCCUGGGGAGUACGACCGCAAGGUUAAAACUCAAAUGAAUUGACGGGGACCCGCACAAGUAGUGGAGCAUGUGGUUUAAUUCGAAGAUACGCGCAGAACCUUACCAACACUUGACAUGUUCGUCGCGACUUUAAGAGAUUAAAGUUUUCGGUUCGGCCGGACGAAACACAGGUGCUGCAUGGCUGUCGUCAGCUCGUGUCGUGAGAUGUUGGGUUAAGUCCCGCAACGAGCGCAACCCUCACUUUUAGUUGCCAUCAUUAAGUUGGGCACUCUGAAAGAACUGCCAGUGAUAAGCUGGAGGAAGGUGGGGAUGACGUCAAGUCCUCAUGGCCCUUACGUGUUGGGCUACACACGUGCUACAAUGGUAUCUACAACAGGAAGCAAGACUGCGAAGUUAAGCAAAUCCUUAAAAGAUACCUCAGUUCGGAUUGCACUCUGCAACUCGAGUGCAUGAAGCUGGAAUUACUAGUAAUCGUGGAUCAGCGUGCCACGGUGAAUGCGUUCCCGGGUCUUGUACACACCGCCCGUCACACCAUGGGAGUUGGUUCUACCUUAAGGCAAGGUUUUAAACCCUUGACCACGGUAUAGUCAGCGACUGGGGUGAAGUUGUAACAAGGUAACCG
rnacentral:rRNA from 1 species